rnacentral:rRNA from 1 species
GCUAAUACCGGAUAACNACANUAGACGCAUGUNUAGAGUUUAAAAGAUGGUUCUGCUAUCACUNUUGGAUGGACCUGCGGUGCAUUAGCUAGUUGGUNAGGUAACGGCUUACCAAGGCNAUGAUGCAUAGCCGAGUUGAGAGACUGAUCGGCCACAUUGGGACUGAGACACGGCCCAAACUCCUACGGGAGGCAGCAGUAGGGAAUCUUCCACAAUGGACGCAAGUCUGAUGGAGCAACGCCGCGUGAGUGAAGAAGGNUUUCGGCUCGUAAANCUCUGUUGNUAGNGAAGAANGAUAGNGNNAGUAACUGNCCAUUAUUUGACGGUANUUAANNAGAAAGUCACGGCUAACUACGUGCCAGCAGCCGCGGUAAUACGUAGGUGGCAAGCGUUGUCCGGAUUUAUUGGGCGUAAAGCGANUGCAGGCGGUUCNAUAAGUCUGAUGUGAAAGCCUUCGGCUCAACCGGAGAAUUGCAUCAGAAACUGGAAGACUUGAGUGCAGAA